GAUGAACGCUGGCGGCGUGCUUAACACAUGCAAGUCGAACGGAAAGGCUCCUGCUUGCAGGGGUACUCGAGUGGCGAACGGGUGAGUAACACGUGGGUGAUCUGCCCUGCACUUCGGGAUAAGCCUGGGAAACUGGGUCUAAUACCGGAUAGGACGAUGGUUUGGAUGCCAUUGUGGAAAGUUUUUCGGUGUGGGAUGAGCUCGCGGCCUAUCAGCUUGUUGGUGGGGUAAUGGCCUACCAAGGCGUCGACGGGUAGCCGGCCUGAGAGGGUGUACGGCCACAUUGGGACUGAGAUACGGCCCAGACUCCUACGGGAGGCAGCAGUGGGGAAUAUUGCACAAUGGGCGCAAGCCUGAUGCAGCGACGCCGCGUGGGGGAUGAUGGCCUUCGGGUUGUAAACUCCUUUCGCUAGGGACGAAGCGCAAGUGACGGUACCUGGAGAAGAAGCACCGGCUAACUACGUG
rnacentral:rRNA from 1 species